rnacentral:misc_RNA from 1 species
GAUGAAGAACGUAGCGAAAUGCGAUAAGUAAUGUGAAUUGCAGAAUUCAGUGAAUCAUCGAGUCUUUGAACGCACAUUGCGCCCCCUGGUAUUCCGGGGGGCAUGCCUGUCCGAGCGUCAUUGCUGCCCUCAAGCACGGCUUGUGUGUUGGGCCGCCGUCCCCGGUUUCCCCCGGGGACGGGCCCGAAAGGCAGCGGCGGCACCGCGUCCGAUCCUCGAGCGUAUGGGGCUUUGUCACCCGCUCUGUAGGCCCGGCCGGCGCCAGCCGACACCCAACUUUAUUUCUAAGGUUGACCUCGGAUCAGGUAGGGAUACCCGCUGAACUUAAGCAUAUCAAUAGCGGAGGA